CUCUGAUAAGGCAUUCUAUUUU
rnacentral:miRNA from 1 species